AUAGAGUACAGUGGAUGUUGGGAUACCAGGGUAUGAUAUGUCUAGCAGGAAACCAGGUUUGGUGAACAUGGGAGGUUGAAGACGUAUUUAGGAAAGUUAAAAAAGCAGAAAAAACAGCAAUGAAAGAAUACGCCAAAAGACUUCAUGGACAGAUUGGUGAAUUAGUAGUACAAGUCAGAUCUCCAUUGUCUAAGAAUGACAGGGCAAAGUUCAACAGUGUUCUAAU
rnacentral:lncRNA from 1 species